GAGUUUGAUCGUGGCUCAGAUUGAACGCUGGCGGCAUGCCUAACACAUGCAAGUCGAACGGUAACGCGGGGGCAACCCUGGCGACGAGUGGCGGACGGGUGAGUAAUACGUAGGAAUCUGCCCAUUUGUGGGGGAUAACCCGGCGAAAGCCGGGCUAAUACCGCAUACGCUCUACGGAGGAAAGCAGGGGGAUCGUAAGACCUUGCGCUAAUGGAUGAGCCUACGUCGGAUUAGCUAGUUGGUAGGGUAACGGCCUACCAAGGCGACGAUCCGUAGCUGGUCUGAGAGGACGAUCAGCCACACUGGGACUGAGACACGGGCCCAGACUCCUACGGGAGGCAGCAGUGGGGAAUAUUGGACAAUGGGGGCAACCCUGAUCCAGCAAUGCCGCGUGUGUGAAGAAGGCCUGCGGGUUGUAAAGGCACUUUCAGAGGGGAAGAAAAAUCGGAAGCUAACACCUCCGAGCUUGACGUUA
rnacentral:rRNA from 1 species